CUAUCUCAACUUCAUUAAAAUUAAGUUAAAUUAAAAAUUCACUUUCUCACUAGCACUGGCCACAUUUCAAGUGCUCAAAAUCCUCUGUGGCUACUGUGUUGGACAGUGAAGACAUGGAAUGUUUUCAUCAUCACGGAAAGUUCUGUUAGACAGUGCUGGGCGAAGUUGCUUGGACACAGAUAUAAAUAGCACGCAGAACUUGUUCUUUAGGAGCUCCUCUUCUACUGAGGGAGAAGAACAUGUAAAUUAAUAGCUAUCAUCCCGUAGAAUAAUGCGGGCAGUAGGAGAGGUUCUGAACUCAAUGGUGGGAGAUGAAAAGGAUACAGGAUGGGGAAAGCAGAGACAGGACAGCUUCACACAGUAAUCGCAAACUGCUCUGAAUCUUGAAGGAAGAGUAAAAAAUUAGCCAGCAGCUCCCCAAUGGAAGUCAGCCAGCCUUGACUUGGAUAUGUCAAACCCGUCUACUUUGGACCAUGAAAACUAGUGAAUUCACGCAAAAGAUCAGAGGUGAAGAACCUGCUGAAAGCUUUGCCAAGGCGAUGACCUCUCAGGCGAACCUCAGAAUGGAUUUGGUUUGGUCAGAUUCAGCCUUCCCUCUCCCAGGCCAUGUAAUCUUCAUCAUAUACCUGCAUUUUAUGGACAAGUCUGGCCUGUGUACCUUCCCUUUGAACUAAAACUCUGGACUGGAGGCCACAGACAGUGAACCACCAGUGAGAACAGAAAAAUCUGGAAGAAUCUGGAAGGGUCUUGAAUCUGAAAGACAAAGAAAUAUGGUAAAGGUAAAUUAUUUCAUUCAACUCCCAGAUCAUGGGGUGCUGGCUCCCAGCAAGGGGCUGAAAAAUGGCGGGUAGCAUCAUUGUCAACAUUAUGACAUGCACCAUCUAUAAUCUGUGUGUACUUUCUCCAAUUCUCUUUCCUCUCCUUCUUCCUUAUGUCACUUUGUUACCUCACAGAAUGGGGUUAAUGCUUUGCUAGGUAGGGGAAGGACUCACUCUUUAUCAAAGGCCUCCCUCUCUCACCAAACUUUAUUAAAAAAUGAAGACCUCUGCAUAUCUUUAUUCCCAAAUUUAAAACUACAAUCUGUGGGUCUUAGUAGUUUCACAUAAUACCUAGAAUUUUUCUUUUAUUCCUAACCCUACAGACUUAGCAUACAUAUAAAACAGAAUUUUAUUGCUAAAGGAGACCUUUGGAAUCAUUAAGCCCCAUCUGGCCAUUUUACAAAUAAGGAAUCAGGCCCAGAAAGGUUAAGUGACUUGCCCAAGAUACACAACUGCUAUGAGUUGGGCCAGAAUUUCUGACUAAGGUCUUGGCUUUUCAAUUAAUACUAGAUAAAGUGAUAAUUGAGAGGUUAUAUCUGUUGGGGAUUUGACCUAGCAUAUGUGUGUGUGCAUGUGUUUGCAUGUGUGUAUGCGUGUGUGUGUGUGUGUGUGUGUGCGUGUAUGUGUAGCAGGUAACAGCCAGCUCUUGUGGGGGGGGGGGGAUUGGUAAGGUGGGGGUGGGAAUACUGGGAAU
rnacentral:lncRNA from 1 species